ensembl:lncRNA
AAAGUCUGGCUUCUCAUCAGUGAGCAUCCCAAUAUUGAAAACUUGAGAGUAACUAGUCAAAAAGAACUGGGAUGAAAUUUUGGCACAUUAAAGCUAGGGGGAAUUUUCUCAUUACCAUCAGAUAAGUCCUCCUGUUACUCCAGAACAGCCAACUCUUCAAAGUCAAAGAAAUGACACUGCAGUGAAUCUCUGUUGCUGUUGUGAAACUGUUCCCAUUUGAACAGCUAGCAGACUCUGCUCUAACUCAUUUUGUCAGGAAAAGGUUUGAAGGAGUCAAACAACAUGUGGGAUGAAUGCCAGUGAAAUUCAGAGAGGUUAUUGUGACUUUCCAGCUCAGGAAGCUAUAAAGUCUUCAGCAGCACUGAAUCCAAAGCAGUCUUGUGCUCAGGGGAAGCUGCUUGUACCAGCCACAUACAGAAAAGCAGCCUGGGAAUCUGGACUGUGAUUUUAGUUUGAAGGAAAUAUGGAUCAGAGGAAACUGCUCUCACACCCAGAGAUCAUAAUUAUACAAAGUUACAGUAUAUUCCUGAUGACUUUGGUAGCUCCAAGGGAUUUCACUGACUUCAGAAAAUCCAUAUGAUACAAGUUCCAACUGCCCCAUCCAGAUGAACUUUAUACUGCUGUCACCAUUCUCAUAAGAGGUCUUUGGGAGCUACUUCUGAUCCUGGAGCGAGAGGCAGAACUGCUUUGGUUUGGCUUGUUCCCCUCCCAGAAGACCCUGCUUGGAAACAGAGUUCCCAGUGUCAGUGGGAUGUUGUUUAACAAACUGAGACGGCUAUGUUCUAGUCCACUACAGGAUCAACAGUGAAAUCUUGCUGACCUGUAUGCAUCUACCUUGAUGGCUUAACACCUUUAAGGCAUGACUUGAAAUGAGGUGUAUAAGCCCACAGUUGCAAUCCCACCAAAUCUUUCUCAGCUGUAGUGAUACCUUCUGCUAUUUACAUUUAUAUUCAAAGUAAAAUUUUUGAGACCAGGUGUAUUAUUAGAAGUGCUUCAAGUUGCGCAGCUGAACAUCACUUUUUCAGGAAAGCCUGGUUUGGUCCUCAGAGGGACCCAGCCUGUUGGGUGUUCUCAGGGUCAGAUUUGCCAUAUACUCACUCACUGUCUCCUUGGGCUUCUUGCAAAGUAUUCCUAAGCUUGUCUGCUUGUCUUUAGAGAUGACCUUCACCCACUUUUUUCUUUCCUUUUUUUUUUUCCAAAUUAACAGUCUACUGAUUAGUACAUUUGUUUCCACUUCCUUCUGACAGUGAAAAUGUUCUCUUCCUCAACUGAUCAUUACAUGUAAAACAUGGUACCUUAGUAGAGACCAGAUCCUGACUCUCGUCUCUGUUAAGUAACUGCCCAGUUGCAAAGACAUCAACUCACUGAAAAUGCUUUUCUUUGCCAGAGCAAAACAAAUCUUGUAGUGCCAAAGGCACUCAAUUUCUGAAGGGUAUUCCAGAACAGCAACCACCUCAUAAUAAAGCACUCAAAUACAUUUUUCA